rnacentral:rRNA from 1 species
GUGGGGAAUUUUGGACAAUGGGCGAAAGCCUGAUCCAGCCAUGCCGCGUGCAGGAUGAAGGCCUUCGGGUUGUAAACUGCUUUUGUACGGAACGAAAAGACUCCUUCUAAUAAAGGGGGUCCAUGACGGUACCGUAAGAAUAAGCACCGGCUAACUACGUGCCAGCAGCCGCGGUAAUACGUAGGGUGCAAGCGUUAAUCGGAAUUACUGGGCGUAAAGCGUGCGCAGGCGGUUAUAUAAGACAGAUGUGAAAUCCCCGGGCUCAACCUGGGAACUGCAUUUGGGACUGUAUAGCUAGAGUACGGUAGAGGGGGAUGGAAUUCCGCGUGUAGCAGUGAAAUGCGUAGAUAUGCGGAGGAACACCGAUGGCGAAGGCAAUCCCCUGGACCUGUACUGACGCUCAUGCACGAAAGCGUGGGGAGCAAACAGGAUUAGAUACCCUAGUAGUCC